UUAGUUCAUUCCCUUUACGAACAGCAAACAGAAAACAGCUAUUCUCUCUUGUGUUUUCUCAUCGCUUUGACGUCAAUUCUCUAUCAGAGCGACGUGUUCGAACGCUUCCUCCGUGAUACCAGAUAUUAUUCGUGACUCUUCAUCAAUAAAAUAAUGCGAUAACCUGUGCCAGUGAGAAAGCGAAGAUCAGGAAUUAUUUUCGCCAUAGAAGCGUCGCUUUCCUGCAUCUAGUGCGGUAGCAUUCCGAUGUCCGUCCAUGUGGCUCUGGAGAGGAUAGUUGGGUAAUCAGUCUUCAGUGAGGAAAAUAAAUCGGGAUCGAGCCUAAAUCUAUCUUUCAAGAGGCAAAAAAUGCAGGGACAAGAUGGAGAAGGCGGCGACGGAGGUUCACCCUGGAACAAUUCGAGUGGAUGCGAAGAGGAGCGAAGACCAAAUGCCAAAGAGGGUAAAAAGUCAAAUGUUUUGCCCCUCUGGGGCAACGAGAGGACGAUGAACUUGAAUCCCCUCAUAUUGACAAAUAUCCUGUCAUCACAUUACUUCAAAGUUAAUCUGUACGAGUUGAAGACGUAUCACGAGGUUAUUGAUGAGAUAUACUACAAAGUUGCGCACCUGGAGCCUUGGGAAAAAGGCAGUAGAAAGACUGCUGGACAAACGGGAAUGUGUGGAGGCCGGUUCAUGCAGGUACGUGGUGUUGGAGCUGGUGGUAUUGUUUCAACGGCUUAUUGUCUUCUCUACAAAUUAUUUACGUUGAGAUUAACUAGGAAACAACUUAAUGGUCUCAUCAAUCAUCCUGAUUCACCUUAUAUUCGUGCACUUGGAUUCAUGUACAUUAGAUAUACACAGCCACCAGCUGAUUUAUUCAUGUGGUAUGACGAUUACCUCGAGGACGAUGAAGAGAUGGAUGUGAAAGCUGGUGGAGGUCAGGUAAUGAAAAUGGGUGACAUUCUCAAACAGUUUCUGACGAAAUUGGAAUGGUUUUCAACCCUAUUCCCACGUAUACCAGUGCCUAUACAAAAAGACCUAGAACAUCGUCUGGGGGAGAGAUUUCCACAGCAGACGGCAAAUGCACGCAAUGCCAAACCACCGAUAACUCUAAAUAACCAUGGAAAGUACAACAAUAGUAAUAGUGGAAGAAAGGACAAUGGUAGUGCUGUAGCCAGGGGGAACAGGCACGUGCAGGAGGAGGCUCAGUGGGGGGAGGAACAAACGAGCCAGUGGCGAGCCAGGUCUGAUGAAGAUCGAAGGGACAAAUACAGGGACAGAAGUGAUAGAGAGCGGAGGAGAUCGAGGGAACGCGAGAGGUCGAGGGAUCGGGGUAGAAUAGACGACAGAAAACGUGAUCGACACUCGAGGCGAUCCAGUCGCGAUCGCAGUCGUGACAGGAGUAGGAGGAACAGGAGUCGCAGUAGGGAUAAAUUCGUUGGGGAGAAGAGCAAGGAGCGUCAUCGUGAUAGGGAUAGACAUAGGGACAGGAGAUGAGGGACAAGAGUCGAUAGAUGAAUCAUUAUUUUCCAAUGGGACAUUUUAAUGAGAAAGAGGUUCACCGAUCGAUUAUGCAGCAGAGCUAGCAAGGGAACGAGAUCGUCAACGCAGAGACUAGAACUACCCUUAAUUACUACUGAAUGUACAAUUAUUGACGUCACUAAGGUAAAUGUUCGUACAAGUGUAGAGUGGGAAGAACAUACGAAUAUUUCAGGAGUCACAAGACACGAGGGGAAUGAAGAGGAACUAUAUCAAUUUAGAACCGAGCCACUGCGACUACAUUCUACGAAAAAACAUUUUUUGUAAACUCCAAUUGGGUCAGGAGUAUUUAGCCUAAAAUUUCAAUAAAUAGUUCAAUAUUAUUCAUCAUGUAGUUUACAUGUUUUUUAUAAAAUAAAGUGAAUGACUGCAUUGAAA